rnacentral:rRNA from 1 species
AAAAGUACUUUGAAGAGAGAGUUCAAGAGGACGUGAAACCGGUAGGAUGGAAACGGAUAGAGCCAACGAACAAGCCCGUAUUCAGCUAGUCGGCUGCGUGCGGCAUGCCUGUGUGCUCGUUCAGGGUGCAUGGGUGUGUGCGGUAUGCGGUCGGCUAGUGCAUUUGCGGGUGAUGUGCGCUGAGGCGUGUGGCGGAGUCCUGCAAACUGUCUGGAGAGGCCUCGCCUUCGGGCUUGAAACCUACAGGCGGGGAGUCGGGUUUCUGCUGCAUGUAGACGAAGCGGCUAGGUGCAAACGCGCUGUCGUGCUGCCGGGCUAGCUGCUUGGCCGGUCGCAUGCGACUAGGUCUUGUUGGUUGGUCUUGGUGGUACGGCAGUGCCCUGGUCGACCCUCGGUGUAAAAGUUGGUCAUCUCUCCGACCCGUCUUGAAACACGGACCAAGGAGUCUAGCGUAUGCGCGAGUCAUUGGGUGGAAAACCCAUAGGCGAAAUGAAAGUGAAGGUCUCUUCAUGAGGCUGAUAUGCGAUCCGUUGCACUACGGUGUACGCGGAGCAGCAUAGCCCCGUCUCGACUGCUUGCAGUGGGGCGGAGGUAGAGCGUAUACGCUGGUACCCGAAAGAUGGUGAACUAUGCCUGAGCAGGAUGAAGCCAGAGGAAACUCUGGUGGAGGUCCGAAGCGCUUCUGACGUGCAAAUCGAUCGUCUGACUUGGGUAUAGGGGCGAAAGACUAAUCGAACCAUC